rnacentral:rRNA from 1 species
GCAUAUCAAUAAGCGGAGGAAAAGAAACCAACAGGGAUUGCCUCAGUAACGGCGAGUGAAGCGGCAACAGCUCAAAUUUGAAAUCUGGCUCCUUCGGGGCCCGAGUUGUAAUUUGCAGAGGAUGUGUCGGGUACGGGUUCCCUCCGAGUUCCCUGGAACGGGACGCCAUAGAGGGUGAGAGCCCCGUCUGGUAGGACACCCAGCCCGUGUGACACUCCCUCGACGAGUCGAGUAGUUUGGGAAUGCUGCUCUAACGGGAGGUAUACUCCUUCCAAGGCUAAAUACCGGCUGGAGACCGAUAGCGCACAAGUAGAGUGAUCGAAAGAUGAAAAGUACUUUGAAAAGAGAGUCAAAUAGCACGUGAAAUUGUUAAAAGGGAAGCACUCGCUACCAGACUUGGGUUCAGCGGUUCAACCGGGGCCACGCCCCGGGGCAUUCCGCCGGCCCAGGCCAGCAUCAGCUUUCCGUCGGGGGUAAAGGCGUCGGGAAUGUGGCUCUCCUUCGGGGGAGUGUUAUAGCCCGUCGUGUCAUACCCUUCGGGGGGCUGAGGUACGCGCUUCUGCAAGGAUGCUGGCGUAAUGGUAGCUAGUGACCCGUCUUGAAACACGGACCAAGGAGUCAACCUUAUGUGCGAGUGCCCGGGCGUAAAACCCCAGCGCGGAAUGAAAGUGAACGUAGGUGAGAGCUUCGGCGCAUCACCGACCGAUCCAGAUGUCCUCGGACGGAUUUGAGUGAGAGCAUAUAGGGUUGGACCCGAAAGAAGAUGAACUAUGCGUGUGUAGGGUGAAGCCAGAGGAAACUCUGGUGGAGGCUCGCAGCGGUUCUGACGUGCAAAUCGAUCGUCAAACAUGCGCAUGGGGGCGAAAGACUAAUCGAAUCUUCUGGUAGCUGGUUUC